UACGAGGGGUGCAAGCGUUAAUCGGAAUUACUGGGCGUAAAGCGUCUGCAGGUUGUCCAGCAAGUCUAUGGUUAAAGAUCAAGGCUCAACCUUGGGAAAGCUGUAGAAACUACUGGUCUUGGGUAUACAUAUGGGUAAAGGGAAUUUCUAGUGUAGCGGUGAAAUGCGUAGAGAUUAGGAGGACCACCAAUGGCGAAGGCACUUUACUAGGCAAUUACCGACACUCAUAGACGAAAGCUAGGGGAGCGAAAGGG
rnacentral:rRNA from 1 species